AUUGAACGCUGGCGGCAGGCCUAACACAUGCAAGUCGAGUGAGCAGCGGACGGGAGGGUAAUGUAUGGGGACUGCCCGAUAUAGGGGGAUAACUACUGGGAAAGGUAGCUAAUACAGCACACUAGAGGAUAACCCAUAUGGGAUUAGAUAGUCGGUGGGGUAAAGGCUAACCUAGUCGACGAUCUCCAGCUGGUCUGAGAGGAUGAUCGGCCAGACUGGGACCGUGACAGGGCCCAGCCUCCGACGGAGGAAGCAGUAGGUAAUAUUGGACAAGGGUCGCAAGCAUGAUGCAGCCAUGCCGCGUGUAUGAAGAAGGCCUUAGGGUCAUAAAGUUCUUUCUGCGUGAAGUCGUUAACCAAAGAAGAAGCACCGGCUAACUCCGUGCCAGCAGCCGCGGUAAUUC
rnacentral:rRNA from 1 species